rnacentral:rRNA from 1 species
UACGUAGGUGGCAAGCGUUGUCCGGAUUUACUGGGCGUAAAGGGUGUGUAGGCGGAAUUUUAAGUAGAAAGUGAAAGGUUGGAGCUCAACUCCAACACUGCUUCCUAUACUGGAAUUCUUGAGUCCCGGAGAGGAAGAUGGAACGACACGUGUAGCGGUGAAAUGCGUUGAUAUGUGUCGGAACACCAAUGGCGAAGGCAGUCUUCUGGACGGGUACUGACGCAUGA